UGCCGCGGUCAGCGGCUGACGCCAGCCACCUUUCCCGACCCGUCUUGAAACACGGACCAAGGAGUCUAACAUGUGCGCGAGCCGCGGGGCAGUACGAAACCCGUAAGGCGAAAUGAAGGUGAACGCCGGCGCGGUCCGGCGGAGGUUGGAUCCCGUCCCGUCGGGGCGGGCGCACUACCGGCCGAUCUUCUCCGCCCUGUCGGCGAGGUCGAGCGAGAGCGUGCAAGUCGGGACCCGAAAGAUGGUGAACUAUGCCUGAGGAGGUUGAAGCCAGAGGAAACUCUGGUGGAGGACCGUAGCGAUUCUGACGUGCAAAUCGAUCGUCAAAUUUGGGUAUAGGGGCGAAAGACUAAUCGAACCGUCUAGUAGCUGGUUCCCUUCGAAGUUUCCCUCAGGAUAGCUGGCGCUCUGUCGCAGUUUUAUCUGGUAAAGCGAAUGAUUAGAGGUCUUGGGGGCGAAACGCCCUCAACCUAUUCUCAAACUUUAAAUUGGUAAGAAGCCCGACUCGCUCGUUUGGAGCCGGGCAUGGAAUGCGAGUGCCAAGUGGGCCACUCUUGGUAAGCAGGACUGGCGAUGCGGGAUGAACCGAACGCCGGGUUAAGGCGCCCGACGCGACGCUCAUCAGAGCCCACAAAAGGUGUUGGUUGAUAUAGACAGCAGGACGGUGGCCAUGGAAGUCGGAGAUUCCACCAGAGGGCGUAACAACUCACCUGGCGAAUCGGUCAGUUCUGAAAAUGGAUGG
rnacentral:ncRNA from 1 species